rnacentral:misc_RNA from 1 species
UAAUAAGUGUUUUAUGGCACUUUUUAAAUCCAUAUCCACCUUGUGUGCAAUGUCAGUCGAUCUUCUUCAUGGAGAUCGACCAAACAUCAACCUUUAUCUUUUAACUCUUUGUCUGAAAAAUAUUAUGAAAUAAACAAUUCAAAAUA